GACGAACGCUGGCGGCGUGCUUAACACAUGCAAGUCGAACGGAAAGGCCCUUCGGGGUACUCGAGUGGCGAACGGGUGAGUAACACGUGGGUGAUCUGCCCUGCACUUUGGGAUAAGCCUGGGAAACUGGGUCUAAUACCGGAUAGGACCACGCGCUUCAUGGUGUGUGGUGGAAAGCUUUUGCGGUGUGGGAUGGGCCCGCGGCCUAUCAGCUUGUUGGUGGGGUAAUGGCCUACCAAGGCGACGACGAGUAGCCGGCCUGAGAGGGUGACCGGCCACACUGGGACUGAGAUACGGCCCAGACUCAUACGGGAGGCAGCAGUGGGGAAUAUUGCACAAUGGGCGCAAGCCUGAUGCAGCGACGCCGCGUGAGGGAUGACGGCCUUCGGGUUGUAAACCUCUUUCGCCAGGGACGAAGCGCAAGUGACGGUACCUGGAGAAGAAGGACCGGCCAACUACGUGCCAGCCGCCGCAGUAA
rnacentral:rRNA from 1 species